GGGGGCAUGGGAGAUGUUCUCUUUAGACAGGUUUUUGUUAAGUGUCUUUUUUUUUUCUUUCUUGGACCAAUCAGAUUCCUUCUUCCACUUUCAGUGCCUUGAGCGUCAAGCUUUGGAUGACCCACCCUGUGUGGGCCGGUUUUGUGCAGGGAGCGGGUACUGCGAGCCCCAGACACACUGUCAGAUGUUGCAGUGUUGGGGAGAGGUGGAGAGGGAAUCUGGAGAGGUAGGGGGGCCGGGAAACGGCCCCGACAGAGAACUUGUGCAGACCGGGAGAAGGUGGCACGGAAGGGCGCUGCAGGCACGCCACGGCCCAUUUCUCCUCCUCCAUGCGCACGCGCGCGCACAUCCACGCAUUCCACACGACCGCUUCGCCGCCGCCACCUUCCGACCAAAGAGAACCUCUGCCCCUGCCCCGGCCUCGCCUUCCCAGGGAGCGGUGCCUGGAGUUGGCUCUUCUCUGCCUUCCCCGCUGCUGCUUGUCUGGUGGGAGGCGGGGCCUCGGGUGCAAUUCCCAGAAUGUUCCUUGCCCUUUCUCGGUGGUCACCAUUCAUUACUCAUGUUCACUUUAAUGAGUUACAUGCUCAUCAGCCACGGGCCAUCACCACCCUUACUGAUGGGCCUGAGGGGUGACAUUCCCAGGCAUCCCUUUGCUGGUAACCAGAUAAUACCCAGGAAGCAAGUAGCUCCAGUUCCGACCUCCCAGGCAGCCUCUGUGUCCUCUAUUUCAGCAGAGAGGGUCCUGCGGACUGGGCCUGGCUGGCACUUGUGGGCUCCCAGCUGUGUCCCACCCCUGGAAGCUGACCCCUUUCUGCAAGAGUCUUUUUGUGAGGACUCAGUGGGAAGGUCUGUCAAGAAUGCAGGUUCCUGUGCAGAAAACGGAUACAAAGUUUUACUGUUUUCAUAGACACCAGAGCCAUGGGUAAUCCGAACACUUAAAACCUAUGAUUGAUGGCUUUUUAAACAUGAAUAUUCAAGAAAAAAUUUUUUUCUUGUUUUGGGUUUGGCCAGACUCUAUUUCCUUCUUUUUGUUUUAAGUAUUAGGCCCAUUCUGUUGAAAUGAUGGCAAGGAAGGGCCCAAGGUGACUAGGUAAUUCAGCUGAAGGUGCAGAAAAAGGAAACCCAGUUUUCAGACGCCUGGUACAGGGCUACUUCGCUGUACUCUGCUGUUUAACACAUGGACUGGGUCCUGGGUGUCGAGCAAGCACCAUGUAAGGCAAAGGAAACAUCAGCAACCAAGGCAGCCUCUGCCUGCCCUCUGCAACUCACACGCUGGUGCCAUCAGAAUCUGAAUUGGAACUGCCUGGUAGGCCCCAUGGAACUACUGUUUUGAGGAGUGGGCUUGAUCACAGAGCUUUGCUGUCUAAUGCUUGAGUCUUCUAGCCUGGUGGUGCUCUGUACUUGGUGAUCCUGAUCACCUUCGACAUUCUUGCUUCAGUGGAAAGAGCAAGGGACUAGGGUCAGGAGACCUGAGAGCCAGUCCUGAAACUGCUGUUAACUGAGUGACCUUGGCCUAACCUCUUUACAUUCCUCGCCCCCAAUUUUCUGGCCUGUAAAGUGAGGGGUAAGGGUUGCACCAACCAAGUCUGCUCUUCACUUGCUGUUUCUGCUUGGUGGGGCCUGUGGGGCGGGGAGGGAUAGCUUAUCCCUAGCAAGGAGUUGGGAACAGUGGCUAGCACGUUGGUGGAUAGAAGGUUCUCCUAUUCAAAGAAAUUUUCACCAUGGGCUUCAUUAUCUUAUUCGAAGUGUGAAUUGAUUCCCAACAGGGACCCCUGCAUCCUAAACAGCAACAAAAAGCACACCCUAAACUUCCGAGCAAAAUCAAUAUGGUGGGUUAUCCUUUAGCCCUUGGGUCAUGCAUGGUGUUCCCCAUAUAAUCCCAAUAGGUUUGCAAAAGUGUCUCUUGCCAGGGCAGGACAGGGUGUGUUUCCUUUACUGUGUACCCAGGUUUCAGGCAACUACUGUCUGGGAAAAUGGGAGCAGCCACCCUCCACCCCAGUCCUCAGGAACAUCCCUCUGGCCCAGGGUCGGCCCGUUCCCCUUACCAAGCAGUGAAACCUGUAGUCCAAGGUGUCUAGAGCCAGGGCACAAUGAGUGGGCACAGCGGACCCUGUUGGGAAGCAGCCUUCUGCAAGGGGAACUGGUGGAGGGAAGAGGAGUAAAGCAGUUUUGACAGAAAUUCUGGUCUUGAAGAGGUUCUCGUGAUUCUGGGUGAGUCGUGGUCUCUUUCUUUAUGGAGGGCCCAGCCUGCAUCCAAAAUCCUGGAUCCCUCAAAGUCCAGCCAUGGGGUUUGCAUGAAGCAAAAACCAUAAGUUAGAAAGGAGAAAGGCCAGGGAUGGGAGCAGGGCUAUGUGCUCACAAACGUCUUGCUGGGAGUGAAGGGGCUAGUUUGACUGCCCUGUCUCUGGGCAGUAUGUUCUCUCCUUAUGCCAGCAGUCGCCUCUCCCCUCGUGGUGUUGAGGGGAGCCUUUUCUGCUUUACAGCAAGGAGCACAUUGCACCAGGCCCUCUUAUUAACCUGUGGACGCUCUGUCAGGAGCCACGAGUCCCGGGCUCCUUCAGAUGGCAUUGGAGGGCCUGUCAGUGUAUUUGACCCAGGUGCAUAGCAAUGUUGGGCCAUUUGGGUUUGAAGAAAACCACGUUAAAGCCAAGACCCCCUUUGGAGCGAACUGGCUCAGCUGCUGCCUUGCUGUUUUCUGUGUGGACAGUCCUGUCCCCACUGCUGAACUCCAGGCCCUCCCAAGGCUUCUCUGUGCAUCAGUGCUGUCUGACCUGAGCCUGGUCAUCACCCUGUCUCUGGGCCGUUGUGCGUGUUGAGAAUUACCCGGUGGGAUUAGCCAAGCUGCUGACCCUGGUGCGGCCUGUGAGGAGGCUGUGAUGAAGCCGGAGUGCCCAGACCAGGAGAUGUGAUUGGAAGGGCAUUUAUUUUUGUGAAGAGGAUAUCAAAUUAGCAUUUAAAUAUCCCAUUCCUCUCUCCUGGCCUGCCCCACCCCGCAGGGUUUCUCUGUCCCCAAGUUCAGACUUUGAGAAUGGCACCGGCUCACCUUUGUCUGCUGGGUCCUGACACUCCAGACCUCUGGGCUGGUGGAGGGGCCUCAGAAAUGGAUGGUGGGGGCGGGAUCCCAUUUUCUUGCAUCACUGUGAGGGAGCUCCAGGCCCUGUCCCUGGAGAAAUAAUUGCUGCGCAGAAGUCACAGGCCAUGCUGGGCAGUUCUGGUACAAGCCUGCCCUUAAAAAAAAUAAUAAUAAUAACUCCAUUUGCAUAGAACUAUCACUCAUUCCUACCAGCCCACUGCCUCUGUCCUUGGCUUUUUUGCUGGCCCAAAUCACGGGCCUCUGAGUGUUGGUGGUCCCUGGGCUCUUCAGAUGCUGCCGCUUGGGAAUACUAACUCUGGGGAGACAGCAGCCAAAUUGCCAAUACAAUCAAACUCUUGACACAAUCCUGUUAGCAGUAGUGACCCAGAAGAUUCUGCUGCCUACAAUUUCACCAGAAAGAGGUCCAGAGCUCCCUGUGGUCACAUUUUCUACCCCCAGCUAUUCCUGGGAUUGCAACUGCCAUGUCUGGCUCCAGUUGAAUUUUCUCCACCCAACCCCCCAGUAAUAAAUGGAUCCAUGAUGAUAACUAAGAGAAGAGAAAAAAAAUAUAUUAUUUUUGUUAGGACAAACCAUCGUAGAUUUUUAGCAAUGUGUAUCUGUGUGUCCCUCACACCUUUUUCCUAUUCUGCCUUUUUUUUUCCUUUUUUUAAAAUAUUAUGUACUAUAUUUUUAGUCUCAAACACACUAUAUAUUAUAUAUAUUUAAUUUUUUUAUAUAUAUAAAUAUAAAUGUUUUAAAAAGU